CGGUCGCGAAAUUCCUCAGCUACAGGGGUCAGUCUAGUGUGCAGCUCCUGCAGCUUCUGGCGCGCGCUCUCGUGCAGCUCGGUGCCCAGAGGCUCCACCUUCUGGCGUUUAUCCCAGAACUCUCGAGUCACUGGGCCCAGCCGUUCCUGCAGUUGACCAACGGUUGAACCCAGAGUGUCCCAGUUGUCCACGAGAUUCAGGCUAGAGGGGGAGAGAGCGGCUGAGAGAUGGUCCCAGGCAGCCUGCACUGCCCCUGGUCUGCAGAUCCAUGUUUGGAGAUUCAUCUCCGGAUGCUACAUGCUUGGCUUGGCCAGCCUCCCAACCCUAAAUCCAAGAACAAUUGAGGCAUCAGCUGCCUUCAUACUCUCUUCAGGGACAUGGCUUGGGGACUGGAAUCCAAGACAUCAAGGUAGAGGACUCUGGGACAACUUGACUGAGCAGAGCCUGGGAAUCAUGUCAGACCCCUUGGAAUUGGAGUUCUAUGUGGUAUGAGUUGCAGUAAGUCAGUGCUCUUAACCACUGAGUCAUCCUUCUAGCCUCCGUCGAUCUACAAAUCAUUGAUCUUUCUUCUCACAAGACUUCAGCUCUUUCAGCAGUACCUGGGGCCCUGUUGGAAAUUCUGCCCUUUACCUGGAAUCCAGGAACAGACAGAGGAAAACAAUAGCAAAAGUCCUCUGCCCUAUAGCUGAGGGAGGUUGCCCCAUAAAGAUUCCAGCCAGGGGCAAUUCAAGGUUCUCCUUCUGAGGACCCCAAGGAAUCCAUUUCCCACCCAACUCUGCAAACACAAAUGUGUCCCUUCUGAGGGGUUAGAGUCCACACAGGUGCCUGGACACAGUGUGAGUCUGACUUGCCAGGCUCAGAGGCCAAGAGGCAAGGUGAGAAUGUGCUGCUCAAAGCCCCACCCUAAACCUAGGGACUUCUCCAGACACCUGGGUCAUCUCCACCCUACCCCAUGUGACUAGACUCUGAACCGUAAGGCAAACAACAUAUCAGCCUUAGAACAUA